GAUUCCGUGAAAUGAAAAUAUUAGUCAUACCCCACCCAAGAGCAGGCCAUUUCAGAGCUUGCUGGAUCGCAAAGAUCCGACUUAAAGCCAAGGUCCAUAUCUGGGAUUUUGAAGCCUCAACCUGUGGUGUUCGGAGGAGGCCCAUCGUGCCAUCGGCUGAUUUUCGCAGCGUCGCUGGUCAGCUCGGAGCUCUUGGGAGGGCGCGAGAGGACAGCAAAGCCAGUGAGGCCAUGGCCCGCGCUCUCAUCGAGAGCCACCUGACGCCGUGGACCAGGUGGGGCCACGACCACUUGUGUGCAGGAGACUUGCUGCUGCUGCAGGCUCAUCACAUUUCGCCUAAACAUCCCCAAGACAUGAAACGGAGAAACAUGCGAAGAUCCUGGAACAGCUCUGGAAACCUACGAUGGUGACUUGCUUUCUGGUAUGAAGAGAAAAGGAGAUUCAAUAAAUAGUUAGAUGAAGAUUUCCUUUCUUUUAAC
rnacentral:lncRNA from 12 species